GUGCCAGCCGCGGCGGUAAUACGGAGGGUGCGAGCGUUAAUCGGAAUUACUGGGCGUAAAGGGUGCGUAGGUGGUUUGAUAAGUUAUCUGUGAAAGACCUGGGCUUAACCUGGGGGUGUCAGAUAAGACUGUUGGACUUGAGUAUGGGAGAGGGUAGUGGAAUUUCCGGUGUAGCGGUGAAAUGCGUAGAGAUCGGAAGGAACACCAGUGGCGAAGGCGGCUACCUGGCCUAAUACUGACACUGAGGCACGAAAGCG
rnacentral:rRNA from 1 species